GAAAUGCGAUAAGUAAUGUGAAUUGCAGAAUUCAGUGAAUCAUCGAAUCUUUGAACGCACAUUGCGCCCGCCAGUAUUCUGGCGGGCAUGCCUGUUCGAGCGUCAUUUCAACCAUCAAGCCCCCGGCUUGUGUUGGGGACCUGCGGCUGCCCGCAGGCCCUGAAAAACAGUGGCGGGCUCGCUGUCACACCGAGCGUAGUAGCAUACAUUCUCGCUCAGGGCGUGCUGCGGGUUCCGGCCGUUAAACGACCUUCAUAACCCAAGGUUGACCUCGGAUCAGGUAGGGAGACCCGCUGAACUUAAGC
rnacentral:misc_RNA from 1 species